UCCCCAUGAAGAAAUAUUCACAUGUCCUACUUCCUGUCCUAGCUCCAGAGCCUGACAAGGUGUUUGUCUCUCUAUAACAGGAAAGAUAGUCAUUGACGGGAU